CUUGAGAAAAGAAGAUUCAGAGUGGAUCUGACUAAUGUUUAUAAGUCUCUUAAGUGUGGGAGUCAAAGAGACAUGGCCAACCUCUUUUCAGCAGUCUCUGGGGACAGAACAAGGAGAAACAGCCAUAAACUGGAGCACAGGAAAUUCUACACCAAUAAGCAAAAUAACUUCUUCACAGUGAGGAUGACAGAGCACGGGAACAGGCUGCCCUGGGAUGUUGUGGAUUUUCCUUUUCUGGAGAUAUUCAAGACCUGCCUGGACAGCUACCUGUGUAACCUGCUGUAGGGGGUCUGCUUUGCAGUCCAAGACAGCUUCUCUUCACUCAAUGAGGAUGUGGCAAGCCAAAAGGUUGGACGUCAGCAUAUUAGGCACAGAUGGUGUAUCAGGAGCCUGGAUUACCUUGUUUGUACUUGGAAAGUAUUAAGUAAAAUUAUCUCAAUUUCUUGUUCUCUCAAGCUGCUUAUAGAUGACUGUAAAUGAAAGACAAAAAGUCUUGUUUUAGAGGUCAUUGAUGAAGAUGUUGAACAAGACCAGACCCAGUACUGAGCAACCCCUGGGGAUCACUGCUAGCUACAGAUCUUCAACUAGACAACACUGCUGAUCGACAGACCUUUGAGCUCUGCCAGUUAGCCAGUUCUCAGCCCAUCUCACUGUCCACUCAUCUAUUCUACACUAGCACUUAUAAAAAACACAAUAGAAAAACCUUAGCAUAUGAGAGUAGUAUAAAUUAGAAAUAAUCCUGAAUAUACUUCCAAAUUUUAGUAUUAGGAAACUGUCUUGGUUUCAACUGUGACAGAGUUUAUUUAAUUCAUAGUGUAAGGUAUGAAGCUAUGUUUUGACUCUGGGAGAAAAACAACAUUGAUAGCAAUCAAAACACACCAAUGUUUUAGCUAUUGCUGAGCUUCUUGUAUUGUACUGCCAGUGAUGGGGGCUGAGGGGACACAAGUUGUUGGGAGAGCACAGAACCAAGAGGCUGACCUAAACUGAAGGGAUAUUCCAUACCAUACAACAUUGUGUAAAAAAAGUUAAAGAACUUUUAGAGUGAGAAGCGGUGGAGGGGAGUAACCAUUUUGGGGGACUGUUUGGGCAUUGUUUGGAAGGUGGUGAGUGUGUUGUUAAUUACUUGUUUUGUAAAUAUAUAUUAUCAUUAAUAUUAUUAUUUUCCUUUUCUGUCUUAGUAAAUGGUGUUUUAAGUCAACCCAUGAGUUCUAAUCUGUUGUUUUUUUCCCAGUUCUCUCCACAGUCCCAGUGGGAGGAAGGAUUAAGCAAAUGACUGUGUGGCAUUUAGCUGACUGCUGGGUUAAACUACGUUAUUUUUGUUUGUUUGUUUUUGUUUGUUUGUUUGUUUUCCCCCUGCUAUAAAUGCUCUUUUUGCUUGUGUGUAGUUUGAGGAAUUUGAGUAGCAAGAGGUAAACUGAAAAAGAAUACCUUGUCUCAGUGAGGAAUCACCUACUUAGUAAUAUAAAUCUAUGUGACACAGAAAGCAAUAUAUUCAUCCAAUUAAAUUCAGUGUGUUUUUAGUGUCAUGAUAUACGGAUUUUUGAAAUAUGUAUCUUUCAUUUUGGUUCUUAGAAAUGUGUUUUGUGAGCCAACACAGGUAUAAGCUAUAUAGGAAUGAAAUGAGAAGCAUUAUCCUAUGAUCUAUUGCAUUGUUGUAUAUGAAAUGAAAAUAGGCUAGGGAGCCUAUUAUGACUGUUGUGCUACUUGAAUCCAUGAUAAUGAGAGAACUUAGAAAAUCCUGUAUGUCAAAUAUUAGUCUCUCUCAAGUGACUUGUUUCCCUGUGAAAUUUAUUAACACUACAUGUGACAAUAUUUUGUUAUAAAGUUACAAAUCACAGUUAAUAAUAGUUUGGAGGGAAUUUUUUUUUUUUUUUUUUUUUGUACUUUAGACUCAGAGUUACUCAGAAUUAUACAUAUCCUAAUCUAAACAGUUGUAUUGAUGUCAUAGUUUGUGAAAGUAUAAAAUAAAAGUUGCAGAUUGCGUG
ensembl:lncRNA